UGCCAGUGAGGAGCAAACAUCCUGUCUUACUCUCAUUUUAGCCCCAGAGCCAGAAAUGGUGAACCCACUGGGGUAACUGGGGGAAAGGAUGAGAACUGGUUCCGUAAGGAACUGUCUGAGGUAC